rnacentral:rRNA from 1 species
UGGGGGAUAUUGCACAAUGGGCGAAAGCCUGAUGCAGCGACGCCGCGUGGGGGAUGAAGGCUUUCGGGUUGUAAACCUCUUUCGCUAUCGAACAAGGCCCGCUUAGGGUGGGUUGAGGGUAGGUGGAGAAGAAGCGCCGGCUAACUACGUGCCAGCAGCCGCGGUAAUACGUAGGGCGGGAGCGUUGUCCGGAAUUAUUGGGCGUAAAGGGCUUGUAGGCGGCUUGUUGCGCCUGCUGUGAAAACGCGGGGCUUAACUUCGCGCGUGCAGUGGGUACGGGCAGGCUUGAGUGUGGUAGGGGUGACUGGAAUUCCAGGUGGAGCGGUGGAAUGCGCAGAUAUCUGGAGGAACACCGAUGGCGAAGGCAGGUCACUGGGCCAUUACUGACGCUGAGGAGCGAAAGCAUGGGUAGCGAACAAG